ACGAACGCUGGCGGCGUGCUUCACACAUGCCAGUCGCACGGAAAGGCCCUGCUUUUGUGGGGUGCUCGAGUGGCGAACGGGUGAGUAACACGUGAGUAACCUGCCCUUGACUUUGGGAUAACUUCAGGAAACUGGGGCUAAUACCGGAUAGGAGCUCCUGCUGCAUGGUGGGGUUGGAAAGUUUCGGCGGUUGGGGAUGGACUCGCGGCUUAUCAGCUUGUUGGUGGGGUAGUGGCUUACCAAGGCUUUGACGGGUAGCCGGCCUGAGAGGGUGACCGGCCACAUUGGGACUGAGAUACGGCCCAGACUCCUACGGGAGGCAGCAGUGGGGAAUAUUGCACAAUGGGCGGAAGCCUGAUGCAGCAACGCCGCGUGCGGGAUGACGGCCUUCGGGUUGUAAACCGCUUUCGCCUGUGACGAAGCGUGAGUGACGGUAAUGGGUAAAGAAGCACCGGCUAACUACGUG
rnacentral:rRNA from 1 species